UUUAGCUAAACAAAUAUUAAAGGUAGUGCCUGCCCAGUGAAUAUUAUUUUAACGGCCGCGGUACCCUAACCGUGCAAAGGUAGCGUAAUCAUUUGUCCACUAAUUAUGGACCUGUAUGAAAGGCCGCAUGAGAAUCUAACUGUCUCUUAUAACCAAUUUAUAAAACUGAUCUUUCAGUUCAAAAGCUGAAAUAACAAUAUAAGACGAGAAGACCCUGUGAAGCUUUAAAAAUCCUAUUAACACUUUUAACAGGUAUUUUUAGUUGGGGCAACUUUGGAAAAUAACACAACCUCCAAAACAGGAAACACCUCACCAAGACUUACAUGUCAACUAUGACCCAGUAUAACUGAAAAAUGGACAGAGUUACUCCAGGGAUAACAGCGCAAUCUUCUUUAAGAGCCCAUAUCAAAAAGAAGGUUUACGACCUCGAUGUUGGAUCAGGACACCCAAAUGGCGCAGUCGCUAUAAAAGGUUCGUUUGUUCAACGAUU
rnacentral:rRNA from 1 species